GAUGAACGCUAGCUACAGGCUUAACACAUGCAAGCCGAGGGGCAGCGGGAUUGAAGCUUGCUUCAAUUGCCGGCGACCGGCGCACGGGUGAGUAACGCGUAUCCAACCUUCCGUACACUCAGGGAUAGCCUUUCGAAAGAAAGAUUAAUACCUGAUGGUAUGAUGAGAUUGCAUGAUAUCAUCAUUAAAGAUUUAUCGGUGUACGAUGGGGAUGCGUUCCAUUAGGUAGUAGGCGGGGUAACGGCCCACCUAGCCAACGAUGGAUAGGGGUUCUGAGAGGAAGGUCCCCCACAUUGGAACUGAGACACGGUCCAAACUCCUACGGGAGGCAGCAGUGAGGAAUAUUGGUCAAUGGACGAGAGUCUGAACCAGCCAAGUAGCGUGAAGGAUGAAGGUCCUACGGAUUGUAAACUUCUUUUAUAAGGGAAUAAACCCUCCCACGUGUGGGAGCUUGUAUGUACCUUAUGAAUAAGCAUCGGCUAACUCCGU
rnacentral:rRNA from 1 species